rnacentral:rRNA from 1 species
UGGGGAAUAUUGGACAAUGGGCGCAAGCCUGAUCCAGCAAUGCCGCGUGGGUGAAGAAGGUCCUCGGAUCGUAAAGCCCUUUCGACAGGGACGAUGAUGACGGUACCUGUAGAAGAAGCCCCGGCUAACUUCGUGCCAGCAGCCGCGGUAAUACGAAGGGGGCUAGCGUUGCUCGGAAUUACUGGGCGUAAAGGGCGCGUAGGCGGCUUAGUCAGUCAGGCGUGAAAUUCCUGGGCUUAACCUGGGGUCUGCGUUUGAGACGGCUAGGCUAGAGGGUAGGAGAGGGUCGUGGAAUUCCCAGUGUAGAGGUGAAAUUCGUAGAUAUUGGGAAGAACACCGGUGGCGAAGGCGGCGACCUGGCCUAUUACUGACGCUGAGGCACGACAGCGUGGGGAGCAAACA